AAACACCUAAGAGUAAAACAAUCGGUUGUUUCGACAAAACAACAGGUUGUUUUUCACUUAGUUUGAAAAACACUUUAAUCUUAAAAGAUUUGAAAACACUUUAGCUUUAGAUUCAACAAAGAGUGGAUUACACAGAUAAACUACCCAGACCCUAUCCUAAACACAACAACAACUUCAGCCUUCCAUCAAACACUAGGAUUUGGAUUCUUCAAAGC
rnacentral:lncRNA from 1 species